CUUGAGCGUUGACGUUACCUAUAGAAGAAGCACUGGCUAACUCUGUGCCAGCAGCCGCGGUAAUACAGAGAGUGCGAGCGUUAAUCGGAAUCACUGGGCGUAAAGAGCGCGUAGGUGGAUAUUUAAGUCGGAUGUGAAAGCCCUAGGCUUAACCUAGGAACUGCACUCGAUACUGGAUAUCUCGAGUAUGGUAGAGGGAAGUGGAAUUUUCGGUGUAGCGGUGAAAUGCGUAGAUAUCGGAAAGAACACCAGUGGCGAAGGCGGCUUCCUGGACCAAUACUGACACUGAGGUGCGAAAGCGUGGGGAGCAAACAGGAUUAGAGACCCUGGUAGUCCACGCCGUCAACGAUGAGAACUAGCUGUUGGAGAGUUUACUUUCUAGUAGCGAAGCUAACGCGUUAAGUUCUCCGCCUGGGGAGUACGGCCGCAAGGUUAAAACUCAAAGAAAUUGACGGGGGCCCGCACAAGCGGUGGAGCAUGUGGUUU
rnacentral:rRNA from 1 species